GGAAGGAUCCAAGUACCUGCAGAUAUAAGUAGUCAGGACAAAAGCAAAAUUCAGCACACAGAAUCAGCCCAUGAAGCUCAAAGGACCAGCCCAGUCGAGAUGGUCAAUAUGCAGGGAUUCUGGCAGAGUACUGAGUAGCUCAGUGAGGUCAGUCCUGUGAGGUGCUGGCACUGAGUGUUGAAUUCAGGAAGCCUCCUGGGGCUUGGGGCAGGGAACACUCUCAUAGUCCCAGCUUCUUUAUGUUGACCACCACCAACUUCCUGAUGCCAAAGGAAGAACCACGAAACCCUUUACUUUCUCCUUUCAAAAAAAUGUGUGCCUGCAUUGAACACCAACUCACAGUGGCCUUUUGACCCCAGUGAGAAGCCUUCCAGAGUGAUAUCUACCUGGUUGGCCUGGAGUAGAGGACACAAUGUGAGUUCAUCUUAGAAAGGAGAAUAACACCAACCAUUACUACUCAAUCAUGUGGCUGGAAAAGGGAUCCCACUACAGAGCCUUUGAGAUCCUGUGGGAUGGAAGAGCUUCAUCAUGCCACCAUUUGAUUGUAAGCCCUGCUGCCAAUGGACCAGACUGAAGGACAUUUCAGAUAUACCUACUGUCCCAGUUGUGAAUGAGUUCAUCAACUCUGCUCCCCACACCCAUCUCUGAUAUGGGGAAGACUUCUAAGCCCAGUGCUUGCUCAGAGAGUGGACCGGGCAGGUCUUUGACAGACUAGUGCCAUCACCUAGAUUCCAGCUGCAUUCCACCUCUCUCUGAGGCAUCCCUCCACUGUCCCUAUUAUUAUGUGUUAAGGCAAAAAUGCCCAGAAGUGGAGUUCGAGGAAUUGCUGACUGCAUCCUCAUCACUGAACGACAUAGGAGCCAUGAUUCAUUAUUCAUAUCUACCAAAGGGCACAAUGGACCUGGAAGAUACUCAAGAUGCGGAUGCACCUAGGGUGUCUGUGACAAGUGAAGCCCCCAGUGAUGCAGAGAACACGACAUGUCCUGAGGUUGAAAUGAAUAGUCAGACUGACAGUGUAAAUGACCCCACAGAGUGUCAGCCAGAAGACUGACUGGGGCUCAAGAUGAAGCAAAGGAACAAUAAAAUACAACAAAACGACUGUGUUCUGCUUUGCAAGGCCUCUCCUGGUUCUCCAGGACUUCGGGAAGACUGUCAGCACACGCUGAGGAAGAGGGGGGUGGGUGGGAAGGCAAGUCCCAUGAAAAAAUGGGGACUCCUUUGCUCUAAUUUCUCCAGCUGUGUUUUGUUCUGUUUACCCGCGGAAAAAGAAAGGGGAAAAAAUGUUUUCUUUAAUUUGGUGGGAGAAUUCGUGUUAAUGCAUCUUUCAGGCACUAUCCUGUCAUUUCUGUGUUUUCGCUCACAACUUUGGCCCACAGUCAUGGUGGGACAGAUGAACGCUAGCCCCCAUCUGCUUUCUCAGUUAUUUCACAAAGCUGGUUGUACAGUGAUUUCUUCAGAGAAAGAGAAGGAAGAUGAUGUUUGAUAAGCUGCAGGCUGACUUUCAGGAAAUCAGCAAACACAACAUGAGCACAAUCCGGACAGUGAAGGCAGGGAAAGAAGUGGGCAACAGUCCUCAAAUACCACUAUGAAAGGUUCUGCACAAGGAGUUGAAAAUGUUUUAAUCACACAGUAAAUCAGGAAUAGGGGAACAGGGUUUAAACCAGAGCAGAAAAACAAGGCCCAACAAGGAAGAGUCUCUUCCUUCCUAGCCAAGAUGGCAGGUGCACUCUGCUUGGAUGUUAGUCUUAGCUCUACAACUGCCAGGGAUGGCGUUUGGAGGGGUGCUGUACUUUCCAGCUAAGAAGGGGGCUGUCGUAUUUAGGAAUCAACUAGAUGUCUGAGAAUAUUGAAAGUUCCACUGGAAGUGUCUUAACAUACAAGUGUUUCAUGAGAGAACAGCCCUUCUUGACUCAAGGCCUGAUGAUCCACAAGUACAUUUUCAUUUGAACUGAGAGGCAAUCAGGACUUUAACUAGUAGUGUGCCCAUUCUGGUCUGCGUGCAGCUGGUAUGAUUUGCUCAUGCCAACUCCCAAGCUGACUUGGUGCCUGAGUCGCUCACCUAAAAGACCAAUCAGUACAGCUGUGAAGAGAAGCUGCGGUAUUACUAACCCUUACAUGCUGGCGGCACAGUCAUGGCUGAAGGGGCCAGGUGUCAUUAUAGACACCUGUCCCACAACCACAAUGGACAGGGUGCCUCCUUUGAGUCCCAAGGCCAUUCCAUUGUUUUUCUAGAAAAUUGAUGAUCUACAUAUUUUCUUAAAAUUGUUAUUAUUUGUAUUUGUUUUCUCAAUAUAGGAAAGUAACAUAUCAAACAAAGUAUUUCAAACAUAAAAAGACAUUCUGCUUUCUAGAUAGCCCAUCGAACUCUUCACUGUUCCUCUUUCUUCUUUGGAAAAUUCACUGUUGUUUCUUAUGACUUUUAUUUUGGCAUUUCUGAAUAUUUUACCCCAUCUGUAUGGCUUGUUGUGUAUGCCGGAAUAACUAGAAAGUUAUAAUUCAGCACAGGUAACAUGUUUUAGCAUCCUUGUUUUCCUUUAGAACU